rnacentral:tRNA from 1 species
GCCUGAGUGGCUCAGUCGGUUGAGCAUCUGACUUCAGCUCAGGUCAUGAUCUCACGGUUCGUGAGUUCGAGCCCCGCGUCCAGCU